rnacentral:tRNA from 2 species
GGCGGAUUAAUGUAGUGGCCUAGCAUGCAUGCCUCUCACGCAUGAAACUCGGGUUCAAAUCCCGGAUCCGCUA